rnacentral:rRNA from 1 species
AUUGAACGCUGGCGGCAGGCCUAACACAUGCACGUCGAACGAGUGGCGGACGGGUGAGUAAUGUCUGGGAACCUGCCUGAUGGAGGGGGCUAACUACUGGAAACGGUAGCUAAUACCGCAUACCAUCGGAUGUGCCCAGAUGGGAUUAGCUAGUAGGUGGGGUAAAGGCUCACCUCGGCGACGAUCCCUAGCUGGUCUGAGAGGAUGACCAGCCACACUGGAACUGAGACACGGUCCAGACUCCUACGGGAGGCAGCAGUGGGGAAUAUUGCAAAAUGGGCGAAAGCCUGAUGCAGCCAUGCCGCGUGUAUGAAGAAGGCCUGCGGGUUGUAAAGUACUUUCAGCGGGGAGGCGUUACCCGCAGAAGAAGCACCGGCUAACUCCGUGCCAGCAGCCGCGGUAAUAC